rnacentral:tRNA from 1 species
GCCUGGCUCACUUGGUAGAGCAUGUGACUUUUGAUCUUGGGGCUGUGAGUUCGAGUCUUACAUUGGGUA